GGGGGCGAUUUAGGUUCGACGGGGAUAGAGCUGGCAGAGGAAGCGAGCCACGGACCAUGACCGUGUCAAAAACAUGGAAAGGCAUUAACUGCCAACAACGAUUACGCUCUGGCUGCGUAACUUAACGUAGCCCAUCCGCCCGGCCCAAGCCUGCGGGGUCGGAUACGGGUGUCAUAUUAGUAGGCUACCGACAGACAGUUGCUCUCGGGUCUGCCGGGAAACACUGAGGGCUAGCUCAAAUUGCAUCUUGCUUCUGAGAGGCAGUAUGAGCGAAAAUAAAAGCAGAAGCUACGCUCGUAGAUGCCUUUGUGGGCAUAUCUUCGGACGGGGGGUGCAACUCCCCCCCGCCUCCACCA
rnacentral:tmRNA from 1 species